rnacentral:tRNA from 1 species
GCGGGUGUAGCUCAAUGGUAGAGCAGCAGCUUCCCAAGCUGACGACAAUCGCA